UACGGGGGGGGCAAGCGUUGUUCGGAAUUACUGGGCGUAAAGGGCUCGUAGGUGGCCAACUAAGUCGGACGUGAAAUCCCUCGGCUUAACCGGGGAACUGCGUCCGAUACUGGUUGGCUUGAGUUUGGGAGAGGGAUGCGGAAUUCCAGGUGUAGCGGUGAAAUGCGUAGAUAUCUGGAGGAACACCGGUGGCGAAGGCGGGUCUCUGGGCCGAUACUGACGCUGAGGAGCGAAAGAGUGGGGAGCGAACAGG
rnacentral:rRNA from 1 species